rnacentral:miRNA from 1 species
AAAGUGCUUCCCAUUUGGAUGA